CGAACGCUGGCGGCAGGCCUAACACAUGCAAGUCGAACGGUAGCACAGAGAGCUUGCUCUCGGGUGACGAGUGGCGGACGGGUGAGUAAUGUCUGGGAAACUGCCUGAUGGAGGGGGAUAACUACUGGAAACGGUAGCUAAUACCGCAUAAUGUCGCAAGACCAAAGAGGGGGACCUUCGGGCCUCUUGCCAUCGGAUGUGCCCAGAUGGGAUUAGCUAGUAGGUGGGGUAAUGGCUCACCUAGGCGACGAUCCCUAGCUGGUCUGAGAGGAUGACCAGCCACACUGGAACUGAGACACGGUCC
rnacentral:rRNA from 1 species